ACUCAUAUUGAGCGUCUGGGUCUUCCCUCCGUCGGCUCCUCCCGUGCAAGUUUCCAACAAAUGGCGCCCGAACAGGGACCCUGCCGGUCAGGGACUCGGUGAUUAAAAACUCAGGAGUCGACAGAGUGCUAGAGACAGCUGGUCCUGCUGUGCUAAAGGCGACGAGACACAAAAGGGGGUCUACGUGCCAGAGUUACAGAGGAGGUGGAGAGGACACAAACAAAGGGGGUCCGUGCCCAGGACGAGACGGGGUCCUGCCAGAAAGUCUCGCCGCAGGUCUUGCAAAGGUUGCAACGGACCGGUUUGGGUUCCCAGCAGAUUUACGAAACCUGUGAUAGACGAAGGAGCGACUGUGGACAAAGACUAUGCUCGGAAUCGGACAGACAACUCUGCGCAAAAUUGUCCUAUUGAUCAUGAUAAUUGCUGAAGGGUCUACAAUGUUGUCUCAGAUUGAUACUCAACAGAAUAUGUGGGUUACAUGGGCUAACGAAACUAACCAGCGUACCUUUUGUUUGUCUCUAGCCUCAGGAAGCGAUCCCUUCCGGACGUGUCUAUUUGGGGUGCCUAUAGGAACUCCAAAGGAAUUGAUCAAGCUGUUAGGCCCGUACUCAACUUCGCUUACUCUCUUAAGUGGGUCCUUCUCGAGCAACCUCUCAGACGGAGUGGUUGCUGCACUGCAACAUCUUAAUAUAUCGUUGCCAUGGGAUCCACAAGAAUUAGAUUUGUUAGGGUCAGUAGCAGUAGGAAACACUAGUGAUAAUUGGACACAAACCUGUUUUAUACUAAAUAAAGGUAAACAAAAUAAGACUCA